GUUAAAGUUAAAAGAGGAUGAAUUUGAAGGCCGGGCGAAGGAGCUCGAAUCUGAAAAGAAGCAUUUCGAGAGCCGACAGAAGCGGCUCGAAACACAAGAAAAGCAAUAUGAAGAACAAAUGAAGGAGUUCCAGUCAAAAGAAGAGGAAUUCAAAGCACACGUGAAGGAUUUUGAAUCAAAGGAUGAGGGGUUCGAAGGUCGAGUUAAGGAGUUCAAAUAAAAAAAGAAGCAAUUCGAAAACCAAGUUGAGGACUUCAAAUCAAAAGAGAAGCAACUUGAAAGCCAAGUCGAGGAAUACAAAUCAAAAGAG
rnacentral:lncRNA from 1 species